AUUGAACGCUGGCGGCAGGCCUAACACAUGCAAGUCGAACGAGUGGCGGACGGGUGAGUAAUGUCUGGGAAACUGCCCGAUGGAGGGGGAUAACUACUGGAAACGGUAGCUAAUACCGCAUACCAUCGGAUGUGCCCAGAUGGGAUUAGCUAGUAGGUGGGGUAACGGCUCACCUAGGCUACGAUCCCUAGCUGUUCUGAGAGGAUGACCAGCCAGACUGGAACUGUGACACGGUCCAGAAGAGUACGGGAGGCAGAAGGGGGAAAUAGUAGACAAUGGGAGAAAGCCUGAUGGAGCCAUGCCGCGUGUAUGAAGAAGGCCUUGGGGGUGUAAAGUACUUUCAGCGAGGAGGCGUUAGUCGCAGAAGAGGCACCGGCUAACUCCGUGCCAGCAGCCGCGGUAAGUC
rnacentral:rRNA from 1 species